GACGAACGCUGGCGGCGUGCUUAACACAUGCAAGUCGAACGGAAAGGCCCUGCUUGCAGGGUACUCGAGUGGCGAACGGGUGAGUAACACGGGGGUGAUCUGCCCUGCACUUCGGGGUAAGCCUUGACAACUGGGUCUAAUACCUGAUAGGGGCCAUUUUUAGUGGGAUGGUUGGAAAGUUUUUUCGGUGUUGGAUGAGCUCGCGGCCUAUCAGCUUGUUGGUGGGGUAAUGGCCUACCAAGGCGGCGACGGGUAGCCGGCCUGAGAGGGUGGACGGCCACAUUGGGACUGAGAUACGGCCGAGACGCCGACGGGAGGAAGAAGUGGGGAAGAUUGCACAAUGGGCGCCAGCCUGAUGCAGAGACGCCGCGUGGGGGAUGACGGCCUUCGGGUUGUAAACUCGUUUCGCUAGGGACGAAGCUUUUUGUGACGGUACCUAGAUAAGAAGCACCGGCUAACUACGUG
rnacentral:rRNA from 1 species